GGGUGCCACACCUUCCGUGAACUGGUCCAUAGUGUGGCGGUGUACCAGGUUGCUGAAGGAAUCUGUUACAGAGGACUUCUUCCGGUGCCUAAAAAGGAAAAAACGGCCUUGGAUCACUCAGCGAAGGGCAGAGACUUGUGGAAAGGAGGCCGCAACCUGCAGUGAGCAGAGCUCAGGCUUCGAAGUCUCUCAGCCAUAGGUUGAAAUCUCGUCUUUGCUCAAUACCAGCAGUUUGACCCUGGCCUGACGCCAGGGAUUCGGCCCCACCCUCUCAGCGCACCCGUGCUGAGCCCAGAAGAAGGAACAGCCCCGCCUGGGCAGCUGGCAGGCAAAGUGGAAUUUCUAGUCUGAGGUCUGAAGCCACCGGCAUGCUGCUGGGGCUGGGAAUCCUGGCCUCUCCCCAGCUCACCACCGAGAAGCUCCUCAAAUGUGGUAUGGACUGGAAUUUGAGGUACAGAGGUAUGACAAGUCCCCUGACCUGAGACAUUCCAAGUUUAGUUUGCACUCCACAAAGUUCUCGUUUGCACAUAAAGCAGCCAGCCACCUGGCAGCAACAGCCCCCUCACCUCUGAGCUAGACCCAGCUCUGGGACACCACGCCCACUGGGGUCGCACCUUCUGGGCCUAGACCAGCUGUCAAG